GAGUUUGAUCUUGGCUCAGAAUCAACGCUGGCGGCGUGCCUAACACAUGCAAGUCGAACGUCGAAAGCCCUGCAAGGGUGAGUAGAGUGGCAAACGGGUGAGUAACACGUGGGUGAUCUGCCUCAGAGUGGGGGAUAACGACCCGAAAGGGUCGCUAAUACCGCAUAACAUCCUGCCUUUGGAUAGGUGGAGAUCAAAGCCGGGGACCGCAAGGCCUGGCGCUUAGAGAGGAGCCCGCGGCCGAUUAGCUAGUUGGUGAGGUAACGGCUCACCAAGGCAACGAUCGGUAUCCGGCCUGAGAGGGCGGACGGACACACCUGGGACUGAGACACGGCCCAGACUCCUACGGGAGGCAGCAGUGGGAAUUGUUCGCAAUGGGCGCAAGCCUGACGACGCAACGCCGCGUGGAGGACGAAGAUUUUCGGAUCGUAAACUCCUUUCGAUCGGGAAGAACAGCUUUUGGGUUAACAGCCUGAGAGUCUGACGGUACCGAGAGAAGAAGCCCGGCUAACUCUGUGCCAGCAGCCGAC
rnacentral:rRNA from 1 species